CCCAAACCCACCCCAAUCCUGGGAGCUGCUGGAGCGCUGCCCGAGGGUGCUCUACUACAGGGAUGCUCUCUCCUUUAAUAGGUACGAGGUCGCCACGGUGACGGAGAAGGGCGUGGAGCUGGAGGGACCCCUGACCCUGGAGGCCAACUGGGACAUCGCCCACGUGGUCAGAGGUUUCGAGUGAUCUCCAGGAGCUGCUCCGGCCUCGUCAAAUCCCCAUUUUUAUCCUUCCCUCUGGAAUGGCAAAUCUGGCAUUUUUUGGGAAUAAAAUCGAUUGUUUAAGACCAA